AUUGAACGCUGGCGGAAUGCUUUACACAUGCAAGUCGAACGGUAACAGGUUAAGCUGACGAGUGGCGAACGGGUGAGUAAUGUAUCGGAACGUGCCCAGUCGUGGGGGAUAACGUAGCGAAAGCUACGCUAAUACCGCAUACGAUCUACGGAUGAAAGCGGGGGAUCGCAAGACCUCGCGCGAUUGGAGCGGCCGAUAUCAGAUUAGGUUGUUGGUGAGGUAAAAGCUCACUAAGCCUGCGAUCUGUAGCUGGUCUGAGAGGACGACUAGCCACACUGGAACUGAGACACGGUCCAGACUCCUACGGGAGGCAGCAGUGGGGAAUUUUGGACAAUGGACGCGAGUCUGAUCCAGCAAUGCCGCGUGCAGGACGAAGGCCUUCGGGUUGUAAACUGCUUUUGUACGGAACGAAACGGUGAGCUCUAAUACAGUUUGCUAAUGACGGUACCGUAAGAAUAAGCACCGGCUAACUACGUGCCAGCCGCCGCAGUAA
rnacentral:rRNA from 1 species